rnacentral:rRNA from 1 species
AUUGAACGCUGGCGGCAUGCCUUACACAUGCAAGUCGAACGGCAGCACGGGGGCAACCCUGGUGGCGAGUGGCGAACGGGUGAGUAAUACAUCGGAACGUGUCCUGUCGUGGGGGAUAACUAGUCGAAAGAUUAGCUAAUACCGCAUGAGAUCGAGAGAUGAAAGCAGGGGACCGCAAGGCCUUGCGCGAUUGGAGCGGCCGAUGUCGGAUUAGCAGUUGGCGGGGUAAAGGCCCACCAAGGCGACGAUCCGUAGCUGGUUUGAGAGAACGACCAGCCACACUGGGACUGAGACACGGCCCAGACUCCUACGGGAGGCAGCAGUGGGGAAUUUGGACAAUGGGGGCAACCCUGAUCCAGCCAUGCCGCGUGUGUGAAGAA